CCAGGGUGCUGUACUUAGUAGAGUAGUUAUCAUACUGCGAUCUAUUGAGGCUCAGCCUUUGA
rnacentral:sRNA from 1 species